GUAAAUUAGAUUUCAGUGAUGGAGGGCUGGGCAAGGUCACUUGCCUCACUUUCCUCUCUAGAGUCAUCUGGUUCCAGUGACAAGAUGGAGAUCAAGAUGACUGAAGAUGGUCUUGGAUGGAAUGAGAGACCUUGGCCUUUUUAAGCUAAGAUCUUCAAAAAGUCUCAAUCCACCACCUAUAUCUUUAGUUAAAUUAGAUGAGUUGCUGAGAAUCAGCCUUCAUCCACAGGGAAAAUACUACAAGGAUAAUAUUUAUUCCUUUCUACUUUACCUUUUAGAGAUACUGAAGGGCCAUUUAACAAAGCUAAUUAAGAAAUGAAUUUGAACAUAAUAUAACAUGGAAUUAAGAAAAAGAAAACAUGUGGACUGAUUUAAGGAACUGUCCUCCAACUGUAAUAGAGUUCAUCAGCCUCAAAUACAAAAUCAGCACUGGGUAUCUUGGAUUUCUUAUAAUACCUCUAAAAAGCAAUCUGGAGAGAGAAGAGCUGCCACAUUUUAAAUAUAUGAACAUUGAUUAUUAUCUUCCCACUCCACCCCAAAGAUCAACAGUCCUCACUUUAUUUAUUGUAAUACUCCAACCAA